GUGCAGCAGGCGCGAAACCUCCGCAAUGCGGGAAACCGUGACGGGGCCACCCCGAGUGCCCCCUUACGGGGGCUUUCCCCCGCUGUAGGAAGGCGGGGGAAUAAGCGGGGGGCAAGUCUGGUGUCAGCCGCCGCGGUAAUACCAGCCCCGCGAGUGGUCGGGACGAUUAUUGGGCCUAAAGCGCCCGUAGCCGGCCCGGCAAGUCCCCUCCUAAAUUCCCGGGCUCAACCCGGGGACUGGAGGGGAUACUGCCGGGCUAGGGGGUGGGAGAGGCCGAGGGUACUCCCGGGGUAGGGGCGAAAUCCUAUAAUCCCGGGAGGACCACCAGUGGCGAAGGCGCUCGGCUGGAACACGCCCGACGGUGAGGGGCGAAAGCCGGGGGAGCGAACCGGAUUAGAUACCCGGGUAGUCCCGGCUGUAAACGAUGCGGGCUAGGUGUUGGGUGGGCUUAGAGCCCACCCAGUGCCGCAGGGAAGCCGUUAAGCCCGCCGCCUGGGGAGUACGGCCGCAAGGCUGAAACUCAAAGGAAUUGGCGGGGGAGCAC
rnacentral:rRNA from 1 species